rnacentral:rRNA from 1 species
CCUACGGGAGGCAGCAGUGGGGGAUAUUGCACAAUGGGGGAAACCCUGAUGCAGCGACGCCGCGUGUGGGAAGACGGUCCUCUGGAUUGUAAACCACUGUCCCCAGGGACGAAGAUGACGCUACCUGGGGAGGAAGCUCCGGCUAACUACGUGCGAGCAGCCGCGGUAAUACGUAGGGAGCGAGCGUUGUCCGGAAUUACUGGGGGAAAAGGGAGCGUAGGCGGGGAUGCAAGUUGGGGGUCAAAACUCCCGGCUCAACUGGUAGUCGCACUCAAAACUGCAGCUCUUGAGUGAAGUAGAGGCAGGCGGAAUUCCUAGUGUAGCGGUGAAAUGCGUAGAUAUUAGGAGGAACACCAGUGGCGAAGGCGGCCUGCUGGGCUUUUACUGACGCUGAGGCUCGAAAGUGUGGGGAGCAAACAGGAUUAGAUACCCGAGUAGUC